GGUAGUAUGAAUCUAGACCUAAUGUGAGUCUUGAGCAUUUUCCUUUUAAUUAUGAAAAGAAAAGAAAAUAGAAAAGAAAAGAAAUAUAAGUUGUCAUCUUGUAGGAAAAGAUGACAAGGUUGAUUUUUGAUUUGGUUCACAUUAGGAUAAGGGUUUAGGUGAGGUGUAAGGAGAGGAAAUAAUGGGAUUUAGCUUAAAUUAUGGGAUAGGAAUUUAGCUUUUCACACUUGAGUCAUUUUCUUAAGGUUAGGUCAAUAGAGGCUAUAAAUAGGAGAGUAUGGAAGCCUUGGCAUUCUUUUGCUUGUGGCUGCCGAAAUUAGAAGAGAAGGAGAGAGAGAAAGAGGCGUGAAAGAGAGAGAAAGUGGAGGAGAAAGGAAGAAGAAUAAGGAGGUCCUAGGGUAUUCAAAGGUGAUUAUCACUUGGGUGUUGAUCAAGUUGUAUUCUUGAUUUUACAAUCAAGAGAGCAAAUAGGUUUCUCUGUGGCAGGCGUGGUGAUGUGGGGAGUUCUAUCGUUCUGGUGUGUAUGGCGUGGGGCAUCCUAUGGACGAGAAAUGAUCAAUUUUAAACGCCAAUUUUUAAUAAUGUCAUGUUAAUGGGAUUUUUCUUAAAAUUGUCAGUGGGACUUAAAAUUUUGUUUGUUUUAGAACUUUGCAUAAAACUAAUAUUUUCCUUUUAAACUCUUGGGCCCAACUUGCAUGUUUUAAGCGAGACCCCACUGAAACCUUUAUAAUAAGUUGAUUUCUAUUAUAAACCAUUGAAAAUGUGAAUGUUUUAUUAAGUACUAGUUUAAGGGCGUUUUACAAUUUC